rnacentral:rRNA from 1 species
UAGUCCACGCCGUAAACGAUGUUCACUCGCUGUUUGGGAUACACACUAAGCGGCCAAGCGAAAGCAUUAAGUGAACCACCUGGGGAGUACGUUGGCAACAAUGAAACUCAAAGGAAUUGACGGGGACCCGCACAAGCGGUGGAACAUGUGGUUUAAUUCGAUGAUACGCGAGGAACCUUACCUGGACUUAAAUGUAGAUUGCAUAGAGUGGAGACAUUCUUUUCUUCGGACUAUUUACAAGGUGCUGCAUGGUUGUCGUCAGCUCGUGCCGUGAGGUGUCGGGUUAAGUCCCAUAACGAGCGCAACCCCUAUCGUUAGUUGCCAUCAGGUUAAGCUGGGGACUCUAACGAGACUGCCUGUGCAAACAGAGAGGAAGGUAAGGAUGACGUCAAGUCAGCAUGCCCCUUAUGCUCUGGGCUACACACGUGCUACAAUGGCCGUGACAAAGAGUUGCUACUUUGUGAAAACAAGCUAAUCUCAUAAACGCGGCCUCAGUUCGGAUUG